GAGAGAGACUGGGAACCAACAAGAUAAGUCGAUGUGGGGCAGAGCCUGGGUGAGGUGAGAACACGGCCGUGAGAGGGGAGGGCGGCUGCGGCGCUUGACAGCCAGCGUGUCUGAUGUUCGGGGAUGGGUGGCAAAGUUGACCUCCUCCCUCCUCCGUCACCCCCACCCCUCAGGAAUGACCCCCACCUUCACUGCCUUGGGGAAUAGUAUUUAGGGACAAAUGAAAGGGAGAGAGAGACUGCAUUCCGCACCUGGGCUGACAAAGUCCAGAGCCGACAGCUCACAGGUGACAGACAGAGAGGAUGUGGAGAGUUUCACAAAAGCCGAAAGUCAGAGGGAGAGGGGAGCAUCCAGGACCCUCGGGGUGGGGGCUCAUCCUUAAAACCCCAGGAUGGUUUUUAAUGCGAGAGGCGAAGGGUGGGCCUGGAAGUUUCGAGAACCCAAGGUCCUGGGUUACUGACACUUGGGUUGCAUGUAAAGCGAGCGGGGAGAUUGGAUGUGGUGCAGGCCCAUGCUGCCCAGCGAGCUUCCCCUCAGCCCCUUCAUGCUCUGGUGCAGGGUUGCAGAAGGGCAGUCCCUCUCAGCCAGCACGACACAGCCACGUGGAGAAGAGCAGUGGCCAAAGGCCGAGAUGGCUGGGGGAGGCCUUGGGGAUUCACCUCACUGACGUUUGGAAGCUUGAAGGAGAGACCCCCCUUCCGAACUCCCCAUCUGGGCCUGUCCUUGGGUGGAAGGACUCUGACCCCAAAAAACAAGGAGUUAAAUGCAGGCCCCAGGGAGAGAGUCAGCCAGUCCUGAGGAGCUGGAAACAAAUGACCCUCUCCCUUGCAAAUCAGGGGGCAGCUCUGGGGAGGGUGGGCAGUGGCGGGGGAGGACAGUAGCCCCAAUAUCUCAUUUGCCCUCUCAAUUUGGACACGCCAAUCCUCUGCACUCUUUGCUCUUGCUGCUUCCCCGUGGGGCUGGCGUUUACGGAGGCCCAUGGUACAGGACAUCACUUAUCCCGGAGCUGUCACCAGCAUGACCUCAGCCCAUCAGCAGGAAACCGCAGCGUUUUACUAUCUCUGUUGCACAGAUGAGGCUCGGUCACAUACCAGGAUCGUUUCAAGGAUCAGAUUAGAUAAUGCACGCAGGGCACUGAGCACGGAAUAGAGUAUACAGAUGACAUCUUAAUCUGCUGGAUGGGGAGGUUCUGCGACUCGGUCAGCAUCACAAGUUGAGGCAGAGACGGUGUCAGGACCAGUUCCGACUCCCACCGGCAGCUUCGACAGCAUGCCUCACUGCGCCUCCAUUCAGCACACGUUCAUUCAGUCCUGCUCUGUGCCUGGCCCCAACCUGAGGCAAACAGAACUAGACCCAGGGACCCUGCCCUGUCUCUUUCCCCAGAGACAGCGCCUGGCAGGGCUAUUCCUGGGCUUCAAGACCCUCCUGGUCCCCCCCUGCCCCCCACGCAGGGCCAUCCCCUGGGCUCCGGUCCAGCUUUCUCUGUUCCCUUGGAGGGAGCGCCAGGAAUGGGAGGCGGCAGGCGGCCAGGGGCACAGGGCGGGCCGGGAGGAAGGGCCCCAGGUCUGGUUCAUUUCCUGGCAUCCCUGUUUGCCGUGUGCCCCUGGCUUCUGGUGGCUGUUUCCGGCCCGCCCACAGCCUCCCUGGCUGAGUGGGUAGCUGGCCUGGGACUGGAAUUCUCCCACUGUCCUCAGUUUCAGCUGUCUGUCAGCUGGGCCCUCCCCUCAGAGCCCAACAGGUCCAGAGGAGAAUCCUGCUCCCCCACCGGCUGCAUGACCUUGGGCAUGUCACUUUGCCAGUCUGGCCCUUCAUUUCUUCUUCUGGAAAGGGGAUAAUGGGACUGAUCUCACAGGCUUGUCAUGAAGAAUAAAGGACAUGGUAUACAUAAAGGGCCUGGCACAAUGAGACGCCCAAUAAAAACUGUUAUCCAUUUUCUGAGCCAGCUCUCUCCAUUUUCCUCCUCCAGGAAGUCUUCCACGAUGCCCACUUUCCCUUGUCUCCCCAUCCCUGUGUUGGGCUCCCAGUCUGAACCCUG
ensembl:lncRNA